AUAUAUUAAAAAAAAAAAAGGCAAAUGUGUCUGGCAAUGUGCUAUAACCACAAGAGGAGAAAAUAACUUGUUUCCUUGCUCUGCCAGAGGUCACAGUACCCUGGACUGAACUGUUAGCAUUUGUUGUAGUAGCAAGAACGGUAGAGUGUCGUUUAGGGAAAGAGUGCAGA